rnacentral:rRNA from 1 species
ACGCUGGCGGCGUGCCUAAUACAUGCAAGUCGAACGAGAGCGACCGGUGCUUGCACUGGUCAAUCUAGUGGCGAACGGGUGAGUAACACGUGGGUAACCUGCCCAUCAGAGGGGGAUAACAUUCGGAAACGGAUGCUAAAACCGCAUAGGUCUUCGAACCGCAUGGUUUGAAGAGGAAAAGAGGCGCAAGCUUCUGCUGAUGGAUGGACCCGCGGUGCAUUAGCUAGUUGGUGAGGUAACGGCUCACCAAGGCCGUGAUGCAUAGCCGACCUGAGAGGGUGAUCGGCCACAUUGGGACUGAGACACGGCCCAAACUCCUACGGGAGGCAGCAGUAGGGAAUCUUCCGCAAUGGACGCAAGUCUGACGGAGCAACGCCGCGUGAGUGAAGAAGGUUUUCGGAUCGUAAAACUCUGUUGUUAGAGAAGAACAAGUGCUAGAGUAACCGUUAGCGCCUUGACGGUAUCUAACCAGAAAGCCACGGCUAACUACGUGCCAGCAGCCGCGGUAAUACGUAGGUGGCAAGCGUUGUCCGGAUUUAUUGGGCGUAAAGCGAGCGCAGGCGGUUCCUUAAGUCUGAUGUGAAAGCCCCCGGCUCAACCGGGGAGGGUCAUUGGAAACUGGGGAACUUGAGUGCAGAAGAGGAGAGUGGAAUUCCAUGUGUAGCGGUGAAAUGCGUAGAUAUAUGGAGGAACACCAGUGGCGAAGGCGACUCUCUGGUCUGUAACUGACGCUGAGGCUCGAAAGCGUGGGUAGCAAACAGGAUUAGAUACCCUGGUAGUCCACGCCGUAAACGAUGAGUGCUAAGUGUUGGAGGGUUUCCGCCCUUCAGUGCUGCAGUUAACGCAUUAAGCACUCCGCCUGGGGAGUACGACCGCAAGGUUGAAACUCAAAGGAAUUGACGGGGACC